rnacentral:rRNA from 1 species
UCGAGCGAGAACCGUAGCAAUACGGGGACAGCGGCGAAAGGGACAGUAAUGUGUAGGUACCUACCCCCGGGUUCGGGAUAGCUGCGGGAAACUGCAGGUAAUACCGAAUAAUGUCUCCGGACCAAAGGUGUGAUUCCACCUGGGGAGGGGCCUGCAUCCUAUUAGCUUGUUGGUGGGGUAACGGCCUACCAAGGCAACGAUGGGUAGCGGGUGUGAGAGCAUGACCCGCGUCAUUGGGACUGAGACACUGCCCAGACACCUACGGGUGGCUGCAGUCGAGAAUCUUCGGCAAUGGGCGAAAGCCUGACCGAGCGACGCCGCGUGCGGGAUGAAGGCCCUCGGGUUGUAAACCGCUGUCGUAGAGGAGGAAAUGCAGGGGGGUUCUCCCCUUUGCUUGACCUAUUCUAGGAGGAAGUACGGGCUAAGUUCGUGCCAGCAGCCGCGGUAAGACGAACCGUACAAACGUUACUCGGAAUUACUGGGCUUAAAGGGUGCGUAGGCUGCGCGGAAAGUUGGGUGUGAAGGCCCUCGGCUCAACCGAGGAAUUGCAUUCAAAACUACCGUGCUCGAGGGAGACAGAGGUAAGCGGAACUCAAGGUGGAGCGGUGAAAUGCGUUGAUAUCUUGAGGAACACCGGUGGCGAAGGCGGCUUACUGGGUCUCUUCUGACGCUGAGGCACGAAAGCUAAGGUAGCAAACGGGAUUAGAUACCCCGGUAGUCUUAGCUGUAAACGAUGAGCACUUGAUUGGAGGGUCCUCCAUAGCCUUCCAGUCGUAGCGAAAGUGUUAAGUGCUCCGCCUGGGGAGUAUGGUCGCAAGGC